UACGUAUGGUGCAAGCGUUAUCCGGAUUUACUGGGUGUAAAGGGAGCGUAGACGGAGUGGCAAGUCUGAUGUGAAAACCCGAGGCUCAACCCCGGGACUGCAUUGGAAACUGUCAAUCUAGAGUACCGGAGAGGUAAGCGGAAUUCCUAGUGUAGCGGUGAAAUGCGUAGAUAUUAGGAGGAACACCAGUGGCGAAGGCGGCUUACUGGACGGUAACUGACGUUGAGGCUCGAAAGCGUGGGGAGCAAACAGG
rnacentral:rRNA from 1 species